UUGUAAAAAUUACCAGACAUUAUUUUUGAGGUGUAAAUUAAAAACUUAAAUUUUUACAGUAGUUUUGUUUAUCUUUAUUUACUUUAUUUAUAGGAAGAAGGUAUUCGGCAAGAAACAAGUUCGCUUCAGACUUAUACCAACUUAGAACCGUUACAGGAAGUUGAUUUUAACUCAGCAACAGAUAUUAGUGAGAAAGAAAGUACUCAUACAGCAGCUGUUUCCCCAAAGACUUACAGCGAUUUACAAACGGUUCGGGAAGUGGAAUUUAAUCUAAAAUUACCAGACAUAAUUUAUGAGGAAGGAAGUAAUUCGGAUGGAUAUUCAAACAAGGAAAAUGAAAUAGGUGACGUAAGAGUAAUGGAUGAUAAUCAAAAUCAAGAAGAAGACCGACAGUCGGGUCGGAAAGAAUAUCGUCAAGAUUUAAAUUUUGUCAACAGAGAUAUUAAUGAAGAUAACAAUAUAGUAGAGAUGGAGCAAUCCGAUAAAG